CCUGAGACUAGAGUCACAUUCCGACACAGCUCUUACCCUGGUGUGCUAGGAGUCCUCGGAGAGAAUCUGCUGAUCUUGAUUCAGUGGCAGGGGGUGAUCAGUGCCCCCACUAGUACCCUAAUCAGAAACAUGU
rnacentral:snoRNA from 1 species